CGCCGAGUGUCUUUUCUCGGAUCGUCAGUGCAUCGUGAAGCAAGUUGGCAGCCUCUUUAUACUUGUUCUGAUCUCUGUGAAAGCAGGUUUGUAUUUGUUUCGCAUGAUAUUUGGACCUAUUGACACAGAAUGGAAGAUAAACGGCAUUUCCACCAUGCAGGUGUCAUAGUGUAAUCAACAAAACAAAAUGCAGACACAGAUGGACGAGAAAAGACCUGUUCGAUACAACCAAAAUGUUUGCUGUCAGUCAACUAUACAGAAAAACACUUAGAUUGUGAAGUUUGUUUGAUUUGUGGAACAUUUCAUUUGAAUGAGACAAUGAUAUGAAGGUACAAACAACCAAAUUGGAGCCAGCAAUCUACUUUGCUGAGAAAUGCCUGGAUCACAAACAUUGUGGAACAUUAAAUUUGAAUGAGAAAAUGAUUUGUGAGCAAACACAACAAAAAUGCUUGAUACAUUGGAAAGAAUGCAGACCAUGGAAAUAUAAGUGUGAGUUUGCAUUUGAUGAAAACGAUUUGAUGGUAAGUAAAACUAACAAAGCUACAGUGUUGAAAAAAUGAAUGCACUAAGACAGUGAACCAUGACCCUGAGGUGUUUGAGGACUAAACGACUAGCCUAAGUGAACAAGAACAAAGUUACAUAAAUGCAUCAGCCUCCACAUGGGAUUAACACUGAACGUCUGUGUGCUUAAAACAUUAGUUCACAGACUGGGACAAAAAGUCAAACUGAUUCCAUUAGCUAGAAUGCAUUACUUUCAAAAAAAUUCCUCAUUCUCUUAACUAAUUUUCCAAACAAAUGUAAAAGAGCCAAAUCACAUCUUCAAGCUUCAGAAAAAAGGAUGAAGUUUAAAAGGUCACGGAAUGUAGAGAAAGGACUGAUAGUGUCAGGUUCACCUGUUUGAAUUUGGUAUGUGGAUACAUGCUGUCUCUAGCACGGUAAAACUUAAACAAAGGUACGAAAAAGGACUAAGAAAGUUAUUUUGAGUGAAAUAAACAUGCUUUGACUAUAAAGAA
rnacentral:lncRNA from 1 species